CUAAACUACUUUUUACUUUAUCGUCGUCUCCGUCGCAUCUUCUUCGAUGUCUCUCCCAUAGAUCUCAUCUUCUUCUCAAAAUUACUCAAGAACUUCACCGAGGUUGUAAAUCUGAAGACUCCGAAAGUCACGAUCACCCGGUUAUGAUUCGAUUUUUUGUAUAACAGAACUGUAAUGGCUGAUAGGCGAUUGGCGAUCACCGAUGUAAAAAAAUCUUCAAGCUCUCACCAAAUGUAAAAGUGUACCAAAAUGAAGGAGAUUCCUAAGUUGUCAUAUUGUAUAACAUAGAAGGAGAGACUGCAACAGAAGAAGGAAGAUAGUAGAAUCAUUGUCUUGCCAAUCAGGUCGUGUAGCUUGCCUUUAUGUAGUACUUAUAAAAGCCAGAAAUGUCAUGUUUGACUACAAAAUUUUCAAUGACUAACAAAAGAAAAUUAACACCUCGUCUUUGUAUGUUUUCAUGUCGUCAAUGUGUCAUUGAUAAGAAUUGUUAGAGUGUUGGAGAAGAAAGCUCUGUAACCGGAGGAUCACAAUUACCAAACAUCAUUUCCAACAUUGCGGUGAAACAAAGGUACAUGCCCAGCAGUACCAGAAGCAACAGGGGAAAUCAACUACUAUUCUCAGAAGAUCCUGCACACUUGGAACGCUCAAUCCGCAAAGACCUACGCUCUGCAUCUAUCGACAGAACCGCAGUACCGUCGACUGAUAUCCACUUUCAACUGUCGACCGAGACUCAGACAUCACCGUCUACCGAUAUCGUCCGCCGAUCUACAUCGAUCGAUACUACUCACCGUACAUCGAUCGGCACUAACCCGCGAAGCAUGGUUGCGAUUGUUAUUCUCACGCAGGACCAGAAUGGAAACCUGUAUGACCAAGAUGGUCAUCUGCGUAAUGCAAUAUGUCAGAAGCUAGAUGCACAGGGAAACAUAAUCCAUGAGCCUGAAGCUGAGGCUACAUGAGAAGCUCAAACACAAUCGUUGACAGAUUACAAUCGUCCAGACGAGUACUAAACCAACAUAUCAGCUAUUCGACUUCCAGAGAUUCAGAAGCCGAACUUCGAGCUCAAGCCUCAGUACUACUCUCUCGUGUCUCAAAUACUUUAUUCUGGGUUAUCACAUGAGCAUCCUAUGGACCGUCUGUAGAGGUUCGAGGAUCUUAUCGCUGCUAUUCGUAUGGAUGGAGUCCUUGAGGAUUACCUACUCUGCAAGCUCUUCAAAUACUCACUGAUUGGAGAAGUUUCACUCUGGCUCAAGUAGCUACCUACAAGAUCACUGACUUCCUGGGCCAACAUCGAAAACGCCUUCCUGCGUAAUUUCUUUGAUGAGGCACGCGCUGAAGACUUAAGGAGCAAAAUCGCCACUUUCGCGCAGAAGCCUGGUGAGACUUUUAAAGACGCGUGGAUCAGAUUUAAGUUCUUCCAGCAAGACUGUCCACACCAUGGAUUCAAUAAGUGCAGCUGCUAAGCACUUUCUACAGAGGUAUCGUCUUGAGGUAUCAGAUGGCUCUUGAUACAAGGAGAACUUUAACACCAGGAAUCCAAUAGAGACUGUGAGACUUAUUGAGAACCUAGCCAACAGCAGCAGCACCAAGAACACUGACUCUGAUAAGAAGAAAUCGGUUGCAGCCAUCGGGGAAGACCAGAUGAAUGAAGUCAGAGCCAAGAUAGAUGCUUUACAUGCAUUUCUGGGGCAGCCAUUCUGCUCAGCUGAAGAAGGAGAGGCUAGAGAAGAUGAUACAGAGGGAGAUGUGAACUAAAUUGGAGGUACUGAAUUUCAGAGAUAUAGAAACCAGAGUGGAAACAAAAACUUCUUUGGCAGUGGUCAGAAGAGUAACUACAACCAGAGUUCACAAUAUCAGAAAACCUUCACCAACACCAGGAACUAUGACAACUCAGCUUACCUAAACCCACCACCACCCACCCAGGAGAGUAUGUUUGAUGCCAUGAUUGAUAGAGUUCUAGAAGGUCAGCAGAAGCUUACAGUAGACUUCAAUGGGAAGAUUGACUCUGUCUUCAACAAUUUGACCACAAGGAUAGACACCAUUUGCACUCAAGUUAAGAAACUUGAGACACAGAUUGUCCAGACUGAGGAUUCUAUCAGGAGAAUUGGAAACUCUAAGGAAGUAGGGGAAAAAAGCUGGAAACACCACGUGAAUGCCAUUAUAGAUGAUGAUUUCUGGCAAGUGGUGAAGCAUGAGAAGCUACAAGAAGGAGACUUUGAAGUGGAAAGUUAACUAAGUUUCGGAGGAUCACAAUGGUGUCGAUCUACACCAACUAGUCCACAUCGAUCGACACCAACGAUGUCAUUUCCGGAUACGCCUGCAGAUUGCAACGCGGUUAGGAUAUUGACACAUGCUGAAUUCACGGCUUCGCAUCCUCACCCACCCACCCAUACCUACGAAGAUAUCGACCGUAUAGACGAGCCACUCAUCGAUCGACACAAAGAUGAGAAACGUAUCGAUCGACACUUUUCUCCACCUAUCGAUCGACACGCACCUCUCACAUACCGAGUGCAACUACCAUCGAUAGACAUCAACCAAAUCAAUGCACUCAGACCCGCACCGAAACCACAAGCUAACCCUAUAGAGACUACUGGUAACCCUUCAGACACUACACCUACACCAGAGGGAACUGAAGGAAGAAGAUUAAGGAGUAGGAAGGAGAAGACUCCUAAGAACCUUAAGAGGGAAGCUAAUGAAAAGGAGAUUGAUGGUUUCACUAAGAGAGUUAUAAUCAGAAUCCCACCAGAGAAACCCUUUG